AGAGUUGAAAGCAUGGCUCCUGACUCUGAGGGACAAUAGCAUCUGCUGCUGGCCCAAAACCCUAGUUUAUACCCUCUGCACUCCUCAAGAGUCCAUCUUUCAGGAUUCUAGCCCCCUAUCAGGCUUAUUACUCUCUCCUCCAGCCACAUCUGAGUAAUGGGGUAAUGUUUGACAUUCCCUGAGCUCCUACUGCACAUUCCAGACACUGCGCUAAGCCCUUCACCUGUCCUGUCUUGUUUAACCUUCACAGCAACCACACAAGGCGGUAUAAUUAUUGUGCCUAUUUUGCAGAUCACCAAACUGAGACCCAGAGGUCAAGUAACUUGAAGAUCACACAGCCAGAAAAUGGUGGAGCUGGGAUUUCUAAUCACAGGCAUGUCCUAAUGUAUUGGUCAUACAUUUCCCAGGUUAAGAUGGGGGUACUGAAGCUGCUUCGAAGUUCAGAAUGGGGAGGGCACUUUAUAGCAUGUUACUUAUUCUUCUGUGUAUAUUUUUAGCAUGUGUUAGCAGCUACAAAUUUGCCAUCUCUUUUGAAAAGAUGCUUUUGCCUUCUUUGAG
rnacentral:lncRNA from 10 species